rnacentral:rRNA from 1 species
UACCCGCAGCACAAGUGGUGGUCAUUAUUAUUGGGCCUAAAGCGUCCGUAGCUGGCGUGUUAGAUGCCUGGGUAAAUCGAUGCGCUCAACGCAUCGAAUUCCGGGUAGACCGGCACGCUCGAGACCGGGAGAGGUAUGGGGUACUCGGGGGGGUAGGGGUAAAAUCCUGUAAUCCUCCGGGGGACGACCAGUGGCGAAGGCGCCAUACUAGAACGGCUCUGACAGUGAGGGACGAAGCCCUGGGGCGCAAACCGGA